AGGGGCGCGCGCGCGCAUAAAUCACACCGCCUCCCCUUGCAGCGUCCUUCUUCUCCUCCUCCUCCCCCAUCAUCGCCACGUGACCAACAAUAAGCGGCGGCGGAGAGAGAAAGCGAUAAAGAGGAGCAAGAUGCCGGCGGGGCAGCAGCAGAACCACCAUCAGGUGCCGACGUACCCUCCGCCGGAGUCGGAGGACGAUGAGUCGUGGGUUUGGUCCCAGAUCAAGGCGGAGGCCCGGCGCGACGCGGAGUCGGAGCCGGCACUCGCCAGCUACCUCUACGCCACCGUCCUCUCCCACCCGUCCCUGUCCCGCUCCCUCUCCUUCCACCUCGCCAACAAGCUCUGCUCCUCCACUCUCCUCUCCACCCUCCUCUACGACCUCUUCGUCGGCUCCUUCUCCUCCCACCCACCGGUCCGCGCCUCCGCCGUCGCCGACCUCCUCGCUGUCCGCCACCGUGACCCCGCCUGCGCCUCCUUCUCCCACUGCCUUCUCAACUACAAAGGCUUCCUCGCCGUCCAGGCCCACCGUGUUGCCCACCUCCUCUGGCUCCAGCAGCGCCGGCCUCUUGCCCUCGCCCUCCAGUCCCGCGUCGCCGACGUCUUCGCCGUCGACAUCCACCCCGCCGCCCGCCUCGGCCGUGGCCUCCUCCUCGACCACGCCACCGGCGUCGUCAUCGGCGAGACCGCCGUCGUCGGCAACAAUGUCUCCAUCCUCCACCACGUCACCCUUGGUGGCACCGGCAAGGCCGUCGGAGACCGCCACCCCAAGAUCGGUGACGGCGUCCUCAUCGGCGCCGGCGCCACCAUCCUAGGCAACGUCCGCAUCGGCGAGGGCGCUAAGAUCGGCGCUGGAUCUGUCGUCCUCAUCGACGUUCCGCCCCGGACCACCGCCGUCGGUAACCCAGCCAGGCUCAUCGGCGGCAGGGAGAAGCCCUCCAGGCACGAAGACAUCCCGGGGGAGUCCAUGGAUCAUACCUCCUUCAUCGCCGAGUGGUCCGACUACAUCAUCUGAUCAGAUUUAACCUGAUAAUGCUCUCAGCUUGGAAAUAUAUCUGGAACUAAACUAUAUCUUAUUACGGAUCCAAACCCAAAUCAAACCCUCCAAAAAAAUCCGAACCCGAUGUUAUUGUGGGGUUUGGGUAUGAAAAAUUGAUGGUUCUACCCGAUAUCACCCUAGCAUUGCGGUUCCCUCUUUCCACUCACCUGUGGCUUUUUCUUGUGUCUCACAUCUCUCGUGAGAUGGGCGCAGGACUGAUGGGCGCCGGCGCCGCCGUGAUCGCUGCCGCAUGCUCGACGAGGCCACGGCGAUCGAACGUCUCGCCACUGCUGGCGUCGGUGCUCCCCACCGGUGUCGUGGAGAAGGCUUUGAUGGUUUCGGAUGCCGUCUCCGCCGCUCGUUCGGACGGGGAGAGGGAUGCCGGCGGCGAGCUCGUGUGCUUCAUCGGACCCCACGCUUCACCACUUGAGCGACCCUCUUUUUCCUCCUCCUCCUCCUGCUCCACCAUCCAUCCAAAACCCCGGCAUGUCUGAUUCCUAGGAAUGGGAGCUGACCAGGAAGAACAAGAUUAUUUGUUAUUUAUGUUUAAAGAUGCUCAUUUAAUCGAAGUGAUUGCCCAUGAAGCUGAAGCUGAAUAUAACAUGAAAUCUCCUGCCAUACUUGAGAAGUUUAUCAAAGUUCUUGCUUGUUUUGUAUGAUGGAGCACAAGUAAUUACUAGUGAAGGCUGUGUCAUACCUCGCUCUUAAUUUCUUGCUAACUCAACUAUAGACCUUUAUGCACAUUACUUUUUAGUGGUUAUAUUACACUGGUAAUGUGCCUGAUUGCUGGUUGUUACAACUGUGGCGGCUAUGUGAGACCUGCACCUGAGAACUUGUACACAGUUGCAUGAAUCACCUCAAAAUGAAAUAGGUUAGAGCAAUUGA